rnacentral:ncRNA from 1 species
UGAAAAAGCAAAGCAGUUGAAAGAUUGUGACGCAAAGCUAUAGGGUCUGUAAAAUGACAGCUAGUUACCA